CGAUGGGAUUCCCCUGUCUUCCGUUUAAAGCUUCGAUCAGCUGCGCGUGAACGUCAGUCACUCUAGUACCUAUAUAAGACGCUUGCCGUUUACUAGUCGCAUAUUCUCAUUCGUUCUUUCACACUCAGUAUCUUCAGCUGUGUCAGAAGCAAAUCUUCCAAGAUGAAGUUAUUCGGCAUUUUAAUGGCCAUGGUCAUAGUUAUCCUUUUGGGAUUCACAACAACCGAAGCACAGAGAUUCAAAUAUAACAUCCCACCAUUCAAUCCACGUGGACCCCCCAAACUACCGCCCAUCAGAUUCUGAAUAUUCUAAAAGGAAGAAAGAGGAAUUGGUUGAUUAAAAAAUCUGUGUCUGAUAAUUAAAUAUAAUGCAUAUUUAAUAAACGUUUUUAUUUAUAAUAAAUAUCAUAUUAAAUGUGGGCAUCUGAGAUUUAUUCACUAAACGGAAGGGGAGGACGUACGUGGUACACUUAAAAACGUUGGUGGGCAAAAUUCAUAUCAAACGUUUAUGUACCAUUAGUAUUUGCAAACUUACAACAUUUUUUAUUUUAAUAGAGCAUAUACAUGAGGUACGUUUUUAUUGCGACGGUAAAUACAAAGAAUGUGCGAUUUUGUGAACUUUGCUUAAUUUAUUGUACUUCAAGGAAAAUAUCAUUUGAAUACUUAAUACCAAGUUCAGUAGAAGAUAUACUUAGAAUGUCUAAUACUUCACUAGAUUUGAUUUAAAUCGACAACUACAAAGGGUUGAUUCAUAAUACGACAUGUUAACUAGAAUUAUCGUAGUAGUUGAGAGGGAUGAAUAAAAAAAAUAAUAAAAUGUUUAAAUAUCAACUGGAAAGAUAGGAAGAGAAUACAAGAUUUUAAAAAACAAUCUAUAAAUUUUAUAAUAACAAACAAAUAAGGACAGAGCAAAGCAUUUAGAAGAAAGAAUGGGAAAAUAGGCCUUCAAAAAAUGUUAUGAAUUUUUCUAAAUAAAUGAAACAGGAAAAUGAAA